CAGCCGCCACGGUAAUACGGAGGGGGCUAGCGUUGUUCGGAAUUACUGGGCGUAAAGCGCACGUAGGCGGCUUGGUAAGUUAGAGGUGAAAGCCUGGAGCUCAACUCCAGAAUUGCCUUUAAGACUGCCGAGCUAGCAGGUGAGAGAGGUAAGUGGAAUUCCGAGUGUAGAGGUGAAAUUCGUAGAUAUUCGGAAGAACGCCAGUGGCGAAGGCGGCUUACUGGCUCAUACUGGACGCUGAGGUGCGAAAGCGUGGGGAGCAAACAGGAUUAGAUACCCCCGUAGUCCCUGUCUCUUAUAC
rnacentral:rRNA from 1 species